ensembl:lncRNA
CAAAUUCGUAGCAUUGUCAGUAGUCCCAGGUAUAGUUACAUUGGCUCGCUCCACUUUAUUCAUAUCUUCGGGUAAACCAUCGCUGGUGUGACUUUCCGAAGAGCGGGGCUUUUCAUCUCCCAUUCAGUGGUGAGGAAUUACAAUCUCCAUGAAAUGGGACGGUGAAGGAGUAGAGUCAAAGGGCUCAACAACAUGAAGCAUAGUAUCAGUGUUGCUGGGCUUAGCAUCUGAGGUGAGGUCUCCACACCUUAUGCAUGCAUGAAUAAUCGCUGGUGGAGUCGAGAGGACAAGUAAUUUACCAGUUGCACACUCCUUAAGGGACCCCGAGUGUAGUCCGCCUCCCCACCAGUGGCUUCUACUUCAACCCAGUGUGUGAUUUAUGUUGAACAGGUUAUUUUACGUUGCUUUUAAUAAG